UCCGGAGAGGGAGCCUGAGAAACGGCUACCACAUCUAAGGAAGGCAGCAGGCGCGCAAAUUACCCAAUUCUAACAGUUUGAGAGAGGUAGUAACAAGAAAUAACAAUACAAGGCAGUUAAAAUGCUUUGUAAUUGGAAUGAUAGAAAUUUAAACCCUUUUUAAAGUAUCAAUUGGAGGGCAAGUCUGGUGCCAGCAGCCGCGGUAAUUCCAGCUCCAAUAGCGUAUAUUAAAAUUGUUGCAGUUAAAAAGCUCGUAGUUGAAGUUCUGCUGAAAGUAACCGGUCUGCUUUUAAUAAAAGUGGUAUCUUGGUAUGUAUUUAGCAAUGAUGUCCUUUGAAGUGUUUUUUACUUUAUUGUAAUAAAGCAUAUUCAGGACUUUUACUUUGAGAAAAUUAGAGUGUUUCUAGCAGGCUGACGCUUUGAAUACUGCAGCAUGGAAUAAUAAGAUAGGAUUUUAGUUCUACAUUAUUGGUUUUAAGAGCUAAAUUAAUGAU
rnacentral:rRNA from 1 species